UUAUCAUUUAGAGGAAGGAGAAGUCAUAACGAGGUUUCCGUAGGUGAACCUGCAGAAGUAUCAUUAUCGAAACCUCUGCGAGAGCAGAAUGACUGGCGAACUCAUUAAAACACCCGCGGGGGGUGCUUCGUGGCCUUCCCUAUGUCUCCGCUGGUACGGGACCCAUCCUGUUCCCCACGAAAGCGGACAACGAACCCCCGACGCGCACUGURCCAAGGAAAUCUAACGAGAGAGCACACCCCURGGGCCCCGAACAAGGUGCGCUGAGGGACGCAUCACAUUAUUUCACUCUAUCUAUAACGACACUCGGCUAUGGAUAUCUCGGCUCUCGCAUCGAUGAAGAACGUAGCGAAAUGCGAUACUUGGUGUGAAUUGCAGAAUCUCGUGAACCAUCAAGUCUUUGAACGUAAGUUGCGCCCCAAGCCUUUAGGCUGAGGACACGUCUGCCUGGGUGUCACGUAUCGUUGUCCCACCCCAUCCCCGCUCGGGGGCCCGAUGGUCAGGGCGGAUAAUGGCCUCCAGUGCGCUCUCCGCUCGAGGCUGGCCCAAAUCCGAGUCCCCGGUGGUCGAAGCCACAAUGAUCGAUAAUGAAAACAAACCUCUCGAGCUCACGUUGCGCUCUCGACUCUCCGUUCCGAGACUUAGGGACCCUGGUGCUCUGCGCGAGCGGCACUCGCAUAACGAUGCCAAGUCAAGCGGGAUUACUCGUUGAGUUUAAGCAUAUCAAUA
rnacentral:misc_RNA from 1 species